GCUUUUGAUUUAUUGCCUAUUGGGGAGGGGAGAGAGAGGGGUGAUGACUCAAGCCCUACAUCAGAGGACCACACGCCAGGGGUCCCCGCCUUCAAACAAGGAGCACAGAGCAGAGGGGGCCGCGGCAGGGACUGUCCAAACCCCCAGCCACCCGAGAGGAUAACAAACACAAUGCCCAAAGAUUUUUCCUUUCCUCAUCACACAGACAGCAGACCCGAGCACCAGGCAGGGUGACUCUGCCUGCCUAGGCCUUCUCAAGGUGAAGCCGAGGAAAUGGGGUUGCGCCCCAGCAGAGCUCGGAGGCCUAGGGCCAAGCCCCAGCAUGCCCGCCAAACUCUCACAACUGAUGCGAGAAAAGGACCUCUUGAUGGCCGCAAAGCAGUUGACCCAACCAUCCACAAAACAAUCCAUCAAUCAUUCAUGCAGUACUAAAAACACAGGUGAAAACAAAGAAAGAGAGGCGACAGAGAGGGAAGUGGCUAGGGACACUUGUGACCAUGAGGCUGAGGUUCAUCUUCAGUCGUGUCAUCUUCAUCAUAUGAGUUAAUGUGGUGGUAACGAUCAGAGCGAGCUGGAAAGAGGGAAACUAUCUCAUGGAAGCUGCGGGAGACCUAGGCAGCAGGAUUGCUAUUGAGCUGCCCACAUUCCCUCUAAGCCUGGCCCCAAAUGGCUACAGAAAGAGAAAUAUCACAGGGGCAGCGCCAUUCCUGCACCCAAGUGAAACAUCUCGUCAUGAACAGGAAGGAAGCUUGGAAAAACAGAAGCAAAGCCCCACCAGGACAAGCAGCCUCUCCCUCUGAAUCCCCCCCCACCCCAAAGAUGAGCAGCAUCCCCAUGGCUGGGGAAACCCAGCCGGAUGGGCGGGAAGCCCGUUCCAGUCAAGAUCUUUGAAAAAUGCAUGCUGUUUCACUUCGUAGGCGCCACCUGCAAAAACGCAAAGACCGAGGUCUUGCUGCCCUCUGCUGGACAACACCACCAAUCCAACUGGACAUGGUAAGAGGUGAGCUCUUUCCUAGAAACAUGUGAUUCUGCUGCUAGGUGGUGGUGGGUGGUGGGGCAACAUCCUGAGCACUUAGGGAAUGUUGACACAGACCCGCCAAGGCCACAGCUGGUCAACAGUUUGGUGUCCCAGGUGGCGACACCCCGGAAGAGGAUCUAGAGAUCUGGGGGCAGGACUAUCCCUCCCCUCCUUCUGGAUUGGAUCACACUGAAGCCCCACCUAACUAGCUGCCCUGCACCCUGACCAACUGUCCUUACCUGCCCCCAGG